AAAGCGUGCGCAGGCGGUUUUGUAAGACAGAUGUGAAAUCCCCGGGCUCAACCUGGGAACUGCAUUUGUGACUGCAUUGCUGGAGUGCGGCAGAGGGGGAUGGAAUUCCGCGUGUAGCAGUGAAAUGCGUAGAUAUGCGGAGGAACACCGAUGGCGAAGGCAAUCCCCUGGGCCUGCACUGACGCUCAUGCACGAAAGCGUGGGGAGCAAACAGGAUUAGAUACCCCAGU
rnacentral:rRNA from 1 species